CAGGCAGGGUGUAUCGGUCGCUCUUCGUUUCGGCGGAGGGAGGAAAGUCCGGACUCCGCAGGGCAGGACGUUCCGUGGUUAACGCGGGAACCCGUGUGCGAUAUCGCACGGGAUGGAAAGUGCCACAGAAAAUAUACCGCCGGCCCGCUCUUUUAAGCGGGAAGCACUAAGUACGAAUUUCUAAAUACUAAAUGAUUUAGGAAUUGGCAUUUAGGAUUCCCCGCUUUGCGGGUCGGUAAGGGUGAAAUGGUGGGGUAAGAGCCUACCGCCCCGAGGGUAACCGAGGGGGCAGGGUAAACCCCGUCCGGAGCAAGAUCAAAUAGGGAACGAGAGGCUGCCCGCCUCGUCUGAGUUCCGGGUUGAACGCACUAGAUAAAUGACCGACCCCGCAAGGGGAACAGAAUCCGGCUUACCGCCCUGCCUGUCUU
rnacentral:RNase_P_RNA from 1 species